UAUAAAGAUAAGCUAAAUUUAAGCUUUUUGGUUCAUACCCAUAAUAUAGAAAUCCUCUUCUUUAUAA
rnacentral:tRNA from 1 species